rnacentral:rRNA from 1 species
UACGUAGGUGACCAGCGUUGUCCGGAUUUACUGGGCGUAAAGAGCGCGCAGGCGGUCGUUCAAGUCGAGUGUGAAAGCCCCCGGCUCAACUGGGGAGGGUCAUUCGAUACUGAUCGACUUGAAGGCAGGAGAGGGAAGCGGAAUUCCCGGUGUAGUGGUGAAAUGCGUAGAUAUCGGGAGGAACACCAGUGGCGAAGGCGGCUUCCUGGCCUGUUCUUGACACUGAGGCGCGAAAGCUAGGGGAGCAAACGGG